rnacentral:lncRNA from 1 species
AAGCAUGGCAGCAUGAGUGACCGCGGUAACAGAGUUCUGAGGUCUCCAUAUCUCUUUGCCUUGUGGAUCACUUAGUAUGAACUGGCCAUCAGAGGUAAGUUCAAGUUUGGAUCCUUUAGGAGCCGGGUUAUCUCCAUUUGCAUACCAAACUAAGGUUUUUUCUGGUAUUUUUUCGAACCAGAUAGCAAGCAAGAAGAGACUUUGACUGCCAAGGCGGUAAAACCCAAACGCAAAUUCACCAGAAGGUGAUACACAUCUAGGCGAGUCGUUGGAGGCGGUAAUGUCAAGAUCAGUGCAAUAUUGAGAAAAAACUAAAGAUGGAAGGACAAGAAGAAGCAAGAACCUGGCAGCCAUUGCAGAAGAGCCUUGGUACUACCCUUC